rnacentral:rRNA from 1 species
AUGAUGGUGCCCGCGGCCCCUAGGAGCGAGGACGAGAUCCUCCAGCCAGCCAACCUCAGAAGUUUCACCUUCACGGACCUCAAGAAGGCCACGAGGAACUUCCGGCCGGAUAGCGUGCUCGGUGAGGGCUGCUUCGGAUCGGUGUUCAAAGGGUGGGUUGACGAGGCCUCCUUCGCCCCGGCAAGCCCUAGGACCGGCAUGCCCAUCGCCAUCAAGAAGCUCAACCAGGAAAGCUUCCAAAUCCACAAGGAAUGGCUCGAUGAAGCGAAUCACCUAGGCCGAUUGACACACCCCAAUCUGGUGAAGAUGCUAGGGUACUGCCUCGAAGAUGAGCAGCACCUAGUCGUCUAUGAGUUCAUGCCACAAGGAAGCUUGGAUAACCAUCUUUUCAGGAGGGGCUCACAUUUCCAACCACUGUCAUGGGAUCUGAGGAUGAAGGUUGCUCUUGGGGCAGCCAAAGGGCUCGCAUUUCUCCACAGCGACAAGGCCAAUGUCAUCUACGGUUACUUCAAGACAUCAGAUAUUCUUCUUGAUUCGGGCUACAAUGCAAAGUUGUCUGAUUUUGGGAAGCCAAAGGAAGAAGAACCAACCGUUGGUCCGAGCUUUUAUAUUGAUGAAUUGCCGAGCUACUAUGCAAAAAGGCUGUCUGAUCUUGGGUGGUCGACCGAGGAUCCGACAGCAGAGGGCGACGUGUACAACUUCGGGGUGGUGCUGCUGGAGGUACUAGCCGGCCGGCGGCGACUGGACCGGAGCCGGCCAUCCCGUGAGCAAGACCUGGUGGAGUGGGCGCGGCCGCACCUGAGCAAGCGCCAGAUCUCCCGCAUCCUGGACGCGCGGCUGGGCGGACAGUACUCCCUCGCCGACGCACAGGAGGCCGCCGCGCUGGCGUGCAAGUGCCUCUCUGGUAACUUGAGUGUCCGGCCGAGCAUGGAGCAGGUGGUUGCGGCACUGGAGCAGCUGCAGGACACCAAGGAGACCGCAGUGAGCGAUCAGGGGUGCCGCGUUGUCAGGAAGUUUGGUGGUAGCCGACAGCAGCAACCGUAG